CUUUUUUUAGAAACAAAUACAGUAAUAUUUAUCCAUAUAUGGUUGGUUGCUGCCAACAAAAUUAUUUUCAUCUAUUCAGAUUUGGCGCUCUCAAUCUAUUUUCUUUACCGCCUAAACUUCCCGCAUCUCUCGAAACAUUCUGAGUCAUAUAAUUAUAAUCCCAGUUAUUUUUUCCCACGACGCCAUCUCCCACCUCCCCAUUUUUCAACCUCCCAAUCCAAUCUGCGCCGGCUUCAAGCCAACCCCAGGCGCCGCCCAAUCUCCCACCCCACAGGGCGGCAGCCUCACCCUAAAGCGCCGCCCUCUGCCGCUAGUUCCGCCCGACACCGACUCCCGCUCUCCUCCAUCCGCAGCGUCGGUAGUUGGAGCCCCGCCGGCGUCCGGCGUCCUCACCAACACGAAGCCGUGCCCCCCUGACGUUGUCCUCACCGUCGCCAAGCCGCAUCAACGGCAGUCUCAUCUCUCACCCGAAGAACCACGGCAAGUUCCGUCGCUACACCGCCCGCAAGCAGCGCCCGCCUCCAGCCAGCAUCUUCAGCCUCCGCCACGUCAAGCAGCCUGCAGGGUUCUUGGAAAUAUGUGACCACUGUCUUGAGGUACUGAUGUCAGCCUAAUUUCAAUCCAUUGCUCCAAAUAUAGAACCCUUGGGUCCAAAAUCAAAUCUCACCCAAAGUGAUGCAGAGCUACCUACUGGUGAGUACUAAUACUUAACUAUUGAUGUGAUUAUGUGAACCAAAUAAAAGUUCUGCCUUUUCAGCUGUAGCUGAGAUUUUCGUUGACAAAUCAAAGUUAAGUUGACAGAUUAGCAUAUAUUUGGCAGGCAAAUGCAAAGGUCUGCAACGUGCUAUGUAUACACUACACGAUAAAUCAUAUGUUCUGUUUUUUUUACGAAUGCAAAAUUCUGAGUAACCGAGCCGUGCGUUUUUCACUCUGGUGUAAAAAGUAUGCCAUGUUAAUUUGCACUAAACAUAAAAUUUUGUAUAGGAACCAUGACUUAGUUUCAAGAGGUAAUCAUAAAGUUUAAUGUGUUCAUUUCAAUAUUUGCCUCUAUCACUGCAAUUCUGUUCUCAUCAACUAAUGUAAUGAAUGCUACCUUUUUGUUAUCUCUGAUGUAGCAGUCAUAGUUACAUAAUAGAACAUUGCUUACAACAAUUCAUUUUGGUUUCUUUCCAUAGUAACCGAUAUGCUGGCCAACCCAUUUAUAAAGCGGUAUUGAUAGGACAAGGUGAUAUAUUAGUAGAUUUAGCUCUCUGCAUAGAAGGCGAUCUAUUUGUGCCAGAACCCUUUAAUAUGUAUGCAUUUUUCUUCUAGUCUCUGUUAUGUUCCUAUCAAAUCUUGCAUGGUUCAGUUGUUUAUUAGAUAGUGCAAUGCAAUGCAUGACCUUGACAUAUGUUUCUAUACACACGUUACAGAUCAUUAGCUUGUUGAUGAACAUAUGAUUUUAACAUUGUCUUGGCAAAAAUAUUAUGUUGAGGGUACCUCAGUGGCUUCGACGCUUGAACAUCUCAGUGUAGGCUGCUGCAAGUGUACGACCAGAUGAAGAAAAUUUACAAUGCCCUCCAGAGAUUGAUGAUUUAUUACCAAAAAAGCCUCCUAAAUCUACUAGCCAAAUUAAAAUAAUUUGUAUGCUCAAACAUUUUUUCAAACACAUAUGUAAUGUGAUGUAUGGUCGAGUUAUAAGCCAUUGUGAUAUUCUUGGAUGCAGGGGCGAGUGGAGAGGUGUUACAAGUUAUAGAGAAAUUCUGAGUUAAAACUUCAUCAGAAUUAUGCGGGGGAAAUAAUUUGUGGAGACUGAUGGAAGUUGUAUUCCAAAUGGAUGGUCGACUGCCAUUUAAUUUUUCUCUGUUAUCUUCCUUUUUCAGGGUAGCUGCAAAUUUAGAAAAGGAGUACAUAGAAGGAGCCAGGAGCAAGUACAUAAGAAUUAUUAUUUAAAUGAACAAUAUUUUGAAUUAUGUAUUAGAUUUUAGCUUCAUAGGAAAACUUUGUUCUAGUUUAGAGGAUCUUUUCAUAAUUAUUUGUAUCUUUCAUAUGAAUGUCCGAUUUGAUUCAAUUAUGAACUCAAGGUGUUUGUUCCUACUAA